rnacentral:rRNA from 1 species
GAUGAACGCUGGCGGCGUGCCUAAUACAUGCAAGUCGAGCGAACAGAUGAGGAGCUUGCUCCUCUGACGUUAGCGGCGGACGGGUGAGUAACACGUGGAUAACCUUCCUAUAAGACUGGGAUAACUUCGGGAAACCGGAGCUAAUACCGGAUAAUAUAUUGAACCGCAUGGUUCAAUAGUGAAAGACGGUUUUGCUGUCACUUAUAGAUGGAUCCGCGCCGCAUUAGCUAGUUGGUAAGGUAACGGCUUACCAAGGCAACGAUGCGUAGCCGACCUGAGAGGGUGAUCGGCCACACUGGAACUGAGACACGGUCCAGACUCCUACGGGAGGCAGCAGUAGGGAAUCUUCCGCAAUGGGCGAAAGCCUGACGGAGCAACGCCGCGUGAGUGAUGAAGGUCUUCGGAUCGUAAAACUCUGUUAUUGGGGAAGAACAAAUGUGUAAGUAACUAUGCACGUCUUGACGGUACCUAAUCAGAAAGCCACGGCUAACUACGUG